CUAUCCCAUCUCUCUCUCUCAUGCACGCACCGUGAGAGGUAGAUAUGAGUUUGCACCGGCAGACUUGGAUGUUCUAGGCUUAGGCAACCUCCUCAGUGCAAACUAUUCGUGCGGUGGUCGUGAGUCACCCGACAGAGGUUGCAACGAGAGGGAGGGGGGGCACAAAGCUGCUCAAGGACGUCCAUGGUGAGCUGGUGGCUGUGAGGGAGGAGAUGUGCGAUGAUGCAGAGGCAGAGAGGGGAUACCACUGAGUGCAAACAAGCUUAUGUUUUGGUCACCCACCAUGUUUUAGCUCGUUGUUAUUUGGUCAAUGAGGUUAGUAGUGUAUUUCAUGAUGGGGGUUUAUCUAUAGUAAGCAAGCCUACUCAUCAUCAAGGGCUCUCUACCUUGAUGACUUUUGCUCCUAUAGUGUGAGGAAAUGGUGCGCUGAUAUCUCCAAUGACGGUAUUAAAGCUUCAUGAAAGCAAUAUUUCAGAAUAAGAGCAUGGCCUUUGACUUGUUACCCGUUGGUAGGAUUGCGCUUUACUGACAACUAACUGACUAACAAUGUCUUCUAGUGUUUCGACAUCACAUUGACCUUGUCCGCUCUUCCCACUUGACCCAAACAAGAGUUGUUACAAUAAAAGAGAAAAAAUGAGCAUGAGGUGCGGUGGGGGAAGGAAAACGCAUUCAGCGAUCAAGGCUUUCUCCUACAGAUAAGAUUCAUUUAGCCUUACCAUCCUGAGACAGCACACCUAAGGAGUUCACCUUUUCUACUUGUCCCUCGUUACUGGUAAUGAGUAUGCUGGCUUAUGAGUGCUUUGCUUUUAUGCAAACUCUUAUAUGACAGGAUCAGAGUUGAUUCUUCAGGUUGCUAGCCAUCCCUCAGUCAAACAUGCUCAUUUUGAAUGUUGUUUUUUUAGGUACAAAAUCCGGCUCCUGUGCAUCUAGAAGGGUCGCCUUCUUCUCGAGUAUCAUCUGAUCACAUGAUGAGUCAGGUAUUUCCAAAGUCUCCACUAGCAGGUCAACUUUAUCUGAGCUUGUUCACACUUUCACGGAUGGGGUAUCGGUUGUUAUGCAGAAUCAUGAGAGCUAUGCAAACUAUUAUGGGAACAAUAAGAUGCAUCUGUGGUUGUUGUCGCUUCUAAGAGAUUACCGAGUCAAAUAAGGUUUGCAUAAUUGAUGUUCUUGUAUGUCUUCCGACGAAUUAGAUGAAAAUCAUUGGCAACCUCUCAUCUGAAAUGACUUUAAUUUCUCAGCUAAACCCGGGGCAACUUUUAUUUGUACUGACAUGUUCACAGUGCUUAUUGUAUUACUAGCUCUACGACACACUUCGUCCUAACUAACCACGCAUAAGGGCAUUGCAAAUACACGAUGCAGCAUUGCAUAAUAGAAAAAAUCUCGAUGCAGCGCAGAGAUCAGCCGGAAAGUGAGAAAAAUUGUGGAGUUGUUAUGGCAGGAACGAGCUUGAAGCGUGAACCUGCACGUGAGACUGGCUGAGAAUUCUUGUCCAAAUUGGAUUAUGUGAACUGCGGAUGUUUUGAAGGAGGCUCUUCUUCAUAUCGUACGCUUUAUCAUUUCAAAGGGGCAUGGGCCUCUGUCUCUUAUUGGGCCCUCACGAUUUCCGGUCCAUGGAUCCAAACUCUCUUGGCCCUCUUAUUCGAUUUUUUCAUUUUUAUUUCUCUAUGUUUGUUUUUGGUAAACAAGGCUAUUAGAUUAAACUAGCGACGAGCUAUCGGUA